AAAAAAAAGAAGAAGCUUCCAAUCUCAUUUUAUCUCCACUACUUUCUACACCAAAAUUGGGUCCCACAACCCGGUUCUUUGUCUAGAGGAUAGCAGUUGAGUACUAGUGGUGGUCUCGGGUAGAAUUGGUAAGAAGACAUCAAACCUUUUGUAAGCUUCAAAGGUAAUACUUCUUAAAACCCUAAUUUGAUUAGUUUAUGGUUACAUGUUAAUUGUGGCAAUUAGGGUAGAAAUUCGAUUCUUUUUCCGCUGUGCAUGACUUAGUUCUAUCAUGUGAUACCAAACUCCCACUUGGACUAAAAUUCCUAGUGGUAUGAGAGAUGUGGUGUGAGAGAAUAUAUAUGAAACUAGGGCACAUGGCCAAUAAGUCUCCCACUUGUCCUAGUUUACAAACAUCGUACACCUAAACUGUGUAGGUGACCCUCAAACACUUUAGCCAUGAGGGCUUUUGUAAAAUGAUGAGCUUCCAUUGUGGAAUCAGCUAUACAAGUUUGCUUUAUGCUUCUCCAAACUACUGCUCCUCCAUUUAGAGUAAAUACUGAUCCUGAUGUAGACUUUCUAACAUCUUUAUCAGUUUGGAAAUCUGAAUCAGUGUAUCCAGUAAGGAUCAGAUCCUUUGUGUACAUGAGCAUGUAGAAUGUUUUUAACGGCUGUCCAGUGAUCACGUCCAUGAUUGGAUUGAUACCUACUGACCAUCCCUACUGAGUAGCAAAUGUCAGGUCUAGUACAUAACAUUGCAUACAUUAAACUUCCAACAGCGGAAGCAUAGGGAAUAUUUCUCAUAUCCUCAACUUCUUGAGGUGUCUUAGGACAUUGUUCCUUUGACAAAUGAAUUCCAUAUCUGUACGGCAGCAGACCCUUUUUGGAAUUCUGCAUUUUAUAUCUAGACAACAUUUUGUCUAUGUAAGAUGCUUGAGACAUGGCUAGUGUUUUGUUCUUACGGUUUCGAACAAUUUGGAUUCCGAGAACGUAUUGUGCAUCUCCCAGAUCUUUCAUUUGAAAUUGCAUAGCUAGCCAUUUCUUGAUAUCAGGAAGAUAUCCUAGUCAUUUCCAAUAAGUAGAAUAUCAUCUACAUAUAAGACUAAAAAAUGCUAUAAUGGAAUUGACGACCUUUUGUAAACACAAGGCUCGUCAACAUUUUGUUCAAAGCCAUAAGAUUUUGAUCGCAAUAUCAAAUCUUAUAUUCCAGGAUCUAGAAGCUUGUUUUAAUCCAUAAAUGGAUUUUUUAAGCUUACAAACCUUUUGUUCUUGAUCUUGUUUUAUAAACCCCUCUGGUUGAGACAUAUAGAUGCUCUCUUCAAGAUUACCGUUCAAAAAAGCUGUCUUGACAUCCAUCUGCCAAAUUUCAUAAUCAUAAAAAGUGGCGAUGGAUAAGAGUAUUCUAAUUGACUUUAACAUGGCAACGGGAGAGAAAGUUUCCUCUAGUCUACUCCCUCUCUCUAGGUAUAACCCUUUGCCACAAGUCGAGCCUUAAAAGUCUGUACUUUACCGGCAUGGUCUCGUUUUCUCUUGUAGAUCCAUUUACAACCAAUAGGUUUUACGUCAUUUGGUUGAUCUACUAGAAUCUAGAAAGAAUUAAAGUACAUAGACUCCAUUUCGAGGUCCAUGGCUUUGAUCCAUUGGUCAUGAUCUACAUCUUUCAUUGCCUGUUUAUAGGUUAAUGGAUCCUCUAUGCCAUCGUCAGGUAUGACGACUUGAGUUUCAAUUAAACCCAAAUAGCGAUCAGGCUGAUGAACAACCCUCCCACUACGUCGAGGCUCUCUCAACUGUUGAGAAGGAUGUGAUUGACCAGAUUUCCUAGUCUUAUCAACUACUUUAGUGGAUGAACUAGGUUUUAUCUAUAGCACUUUUGGAAAUUUCUUUAAAUACUAGUUUACUACGAGGUUGAUGAUCCCUGAUGUGGUAUUUUAUUUUCUUGAGGAUCAUAAAAC
rnacentral:lncRNA from 1 species